UACAGAGGUCCCAAGCGUUGUUCGGAUUCACUGGGCGUAAAGGGUGCGUAGGCGGUCGGGUAAGUCUGAUGUAAAAUCUCACAGCUUAACUGUGAAACUGCAUUGGAUACUAUUCGGCUUGAGAGUUGGAGGGGGACUGGAAUUCUUGGUGUAGCAGUGAAAUGCGUAGAUAUCAAGAGGAACACCAGUGGCGAAGGCGAGUCCCUGGACAACUUCUGACGCUGAGGCACGAAAGCUAGGGGAGCAAACAGG
rnacentral:rRNA from 1 species